GUCAAGAAUUCAGCAUAGCAAGUUUGUAUGAAGGUCUGGUUAUUAAAUGGGUACAUAGUUCAAUAGUAAAAUCCUCUAAAAUGCUAUGGUGAUAAACACUCUGCUGCCCUGUUUCCAAUUGUCCACAUGGCUGGGAGAACCUAUUAAAGAUUUCUGUCCUCAGAUAAAGAGAGCUAUGAAAGCCUGUCUACAUAUGAAGAGGUCCCAAUGAAGAGCAGUGGUUCUCAGUCCUGGUCCUGGGGACUCAAAGGGAUACCUUGUAACUGGAGAUUCCUUCACAACGAUUGCCUACAGUUACUGUGUAGGGCACUGCAAGGUUGGGUGACCAGGGCUAUCUGGGACUGCCUCCUGGAGAAAUUCAGGUAUGUGAAGGCUACCCGUGUCCUGCAUAACUUCAUGAAGAUGGACACGAGGACCAGGAGGGGAUCUGCAGCUCGCCGUCGUGUGCCAGAGGAGAAGUCUGCUGCUCUGCAGGAUGUUUCAAGGAUGGAGUCCAACAAAGCAGCAAGAGAGGCAAUCCGUGUGCGGGAGAUCUUCACCUACUUCUUCGAAGAGGGUUAUCAGCUGUGUCGGUGAACCCCUCCUGCAUCUGAACUAUCUACAUACAGUGGGGGGGGGACAGUAUUUGAUCCCCUGCUGAUUUUGUACGUUUGCCCACUUACAAAGAAAUGAUCAGUCUACAAUUUUAAUAGUAGGUUUAUUUGAACAGUG
rnacentral:lncRNA from 1 species